GAUGUAAAUUUGAUAUUUCGUGAAUGCAGGCAUUUCUCGUGUUGGGUCUUUCGAUAUCUGUGGUUCUAAUAAUUUGCAUUACAAAAGUCGCCAAGGCUGCUCUAGAUAAAGCGCUGGCCGAAAAGGAAGAUUACGACGAUGUCGUGUCUGGUCAGCUACUGGUUGUAGAGGCUCCUCUAGAUCUCAAGCAGCCUCUGAUAAUCAAGAUAGACCCAACCGAAGAUAACCAAGAAAAAUGAUAAGGCCAUGUCCUCAACGAACCAUUCUGAUUCACUCCACAGCUACUGAUAUCAACUUGUUUAAGAGCUUGUGGUUUGUAAUAUCUCUGUACAGUUCCAUAACUUAGGUAGAAACCUAGCUUAGCUUCUGUCUUGUGAUUGGAGAUGAAUAUAUGAUAACUAUAGACAGUUCUUGAACUUUUCUGUAUCGUAUUACUAGGAAAGAACGUUCAGUUCU